GGUUAAGCGACUAAGCGUACACGGUGGAUGCCCUGGCAGUCAGAGGCGAUGAAGGACGUGCUAAUCUGCGAAAAGCGCCGGCGAGGUGAUAUGAACCCUUGACCCGGCGAUGUCCGAAUGGGGAAACCCAGUGCAAUCCGUUGCACUAUCGUUAACUGAAUACAUAGGUUAACGAGGCGAACCGGGGGAACUGAAACAUCUAAGUACCCCGAGGAAAAGAAAUCAACCGAGAUUCCCCCAGUAGCGGCGAGCGAACGGGGAGCAGCCCGGAGUCUGAAUCAGCUUGUGUGUUAGUGGAACGGUCUGGAAAGUCCGACGGUACAGGGUGAUAGUCCCGUACACGAAAGCACACAUGCUGUGAACUCGAAGAGUAGGGCGGGACACGUGGUAUCCUGUCUGAAUAUGGGGGGACCAUCCUCCAAGGCUAAAUACUCCUGACUGACCGAUAGUGAACCAGUACCGUGAGGGAAAGGCGAAAAGAACCCCGGCGAGGGGAGUGAAAAAGAACCUGAAACCGUGUACGUACAAGCAGUGGGAGCCUCUUUAUGGGGUGACUGCGUACCUUUUGUAUAAUGGGUCAGCGACUUAUAUUCUGUAGCAAGGUUAACCGUAUAGGGGAGCCGAAGGGAAACCGAGUCUUAACUGGGCGUUAAGUUGCAGGGUAUAGACCCGAAACCCGGUGAUCUAGCCAUGGGCAGGUUGAAGGUUGGGUAACACUAACUGGAGGACCGAACCGACUAAUGUUGAAAAAUUAGCGGAUGACCUGUGGCUGGGGGUGAAAGGCCAAUCAAACCGGGAGAUAGCUGGUUCUCCCCGAAAGCUAUUUAGGUAGCGCCUCGUGAACUCAUCUUCGGGGGUAGAGCACUGUUUCGGCUAGGGGGCCAUCCCGGCUUACCAACCCGAUGCAAACUACGAAUACCGAAGAAUGUUAUCACGGGAGACACACGGCGGGUGCUAACGUCCGUCGUGAAGAGGGAAACAACCCAGACCGCCAGCUAAGGUCCCAAAGUCAUGGUUAAGUGGGAAACGAUGUGGGAAGGCACAGACAGCCAGGAUGUUGGCUUAGAAGCAGCCAUCAUUUAAAGAAAGCGUAAUAGCUCACUGGUCGAGUCGGCCUGCGCGGAAGAUGUAACGGGGCUAAACCAUGCACCGAAGCUGCGGCAGCGACACUAUGUGUUGUUGGGUAGGGGAGCGUUCUGUAAGCCGUUGAAGGUGUGCUGUGAGGCAUGCUGGAGGUAUCAGAAGUGCGAAUGCUGACAUAAGUAACGAUAAAGCGGGUGAAAAGCCCGCUCGCCGGAAGACCAAGGGUUCCUGUCCAACGUUAAUCGGGGCAGGGUGAGUCGACCCCUAAGGCGAGGCCGAAAGGCGUAGUCGAUGGGAAACAGGUUAAUAUUCCUGUACUUGGUGUUACUGCGAAGGGGGGACGGAGAAGGCUAUGUCAGCCGGGCGACGGUUGUCCCGGUUUAAGCAUGUAGGCGGAGGUUCCAGGUAAAUCCGGUACCUUUUAACGCUGAGGUGUGAUGACGAGGCACUACGGUGCUGAAGUGAUAAAUGCCCUGCUUCCAGGAAAAGCCUCUAAGCAUCAGGUAACACGAAAUCGUACCCCAAACCGACACAGGUGGUCAGGUAGAGAAUACCAAGGCGCUUGAGAGAACUCGGGUGAAGGAACUAGGCAAAAUGGUGCCGUAACUUCGGGAGAAGGCACGCUGAUGUGUAGGUGAAGCCCCUGCGGGCGGAGCUGAAAUCAGUCGAAGAUACCAGCUGGCUGCAACUGUUUAUUAAAAACACAGCACUGUGCAAACACGAAAGUGGACGUAUACGGUGUGACGCCUGCCCGGUGCCGGAAGGUUAAUUGAUGGGGUUAGCGGCAACGCGAAGCUCUUGAUCGAAGCCCCGGUAAACGGCGGCCGUAACUAUAACGGUCCUAAGGUAGCGAAAUUCCUUGUCGGGUAAGUUCCGACCUGCACGAAUGGCGUAAUGAUGGCCAGGCUGUCUCCACCCGAGACUCAGUGAAAUUGAACUCGCUGUGAAGAUGCAGUGUACCCGCGGCAAGACGGAAAGACCCCGUGAACCUUUACUAUAGCUUGACACUGAACACUGGUCCUUGAUGUGUAGGAUAGGUGGGAGGCUUUGAAGCGUGGACGCCAGUCUGCGUGGAGCCAACCUUGAAAUACCACCCUUUAAUGGCUGGUGUUCUAACGUGGACCCGUUACCCGGGUUGCGGACAGUGUCUGGUGGGUAGUUUGACUGGGGCGGUCUCCUCCCAAAGAGUAACGGAGGAGCACGAAGGUUGGCUAAUCCUGGUCGGACAUCAGGAGGUUAGUGCAAUGGCAUAAGCCAGCUUGACUGCGAGCGUGACGGCGCGAGCAGGUGCGAAAGCAGGUCAUAGUGAUCCGGUGGUUCUGAAUGGAAGGGCCAUCGCUCAACGGAUAAAAGGUACUCCGGGGAUAACAGGCUGAUACCGCCCAAGAGUUCAUAUCGACGGCGGUGUUUGGCACCUCGAUGUCGGCUCAUCACAUCCUGGGGCUGAAGUAGGUCCCAAGGGUAUGGCUGUUCGCCAUUUAAAGUGGUACGCGAGCUGGGUUUAGAACGUCGUGAGACAGUUCGGUCCCUAUCUGCCGUGGGCGCUGGAGAAUUGAGGGGGGCUGCUCCUAGUACGAGAGGACCGGAGUGGACGCAUCACUGGUGUUCGGGUUGUCAUGCCAAUGGCACUGCCCGGUAGCUAAAUGCGGAAGAGAUAAGUGCUGAAAGCAUCUAAGCACGAAACUUGCCCCGAGAUGAGUUCUCCCUGAGACUUUAAGUCUCCUGAAGGAACGUUGAAGACGACGACGUUGAUAGGUCGGGUGUGUAAGCGCAGCGAUGCGUUGAGCUAACCGAUACUAAUGAACCGUGAGGCUUAACCUU
rnacentral:rRNA from 1 species